AGAAGGCCUUUUGGUUGUAAAGCACUUUAAGCAGUGAAGAAGACUCUUCGGUUAAUACCCGGAGACGAUGACAUUAGCUGCAGAAUAAGCACCGGCUAACUCUGUGCCAGCAGCCGCGGUAAUACAGAGGGUGCAAGCGUUAAUCGGAAUUACUGGGCGUAAAGCGAGCGUAGGUGGCUUGAUAAGUCAGAUGUGAAAUCCCCGGGCUUAACCUGGGAACUGCAUCUGAAACUGUUAGGCUAGAGUAGGUGAGAGGGAAGUAGAAUUUCAGGUGUAGCGGUGAAAUGCGUAGAGAUCUGAAGGAAUACCGAUGGCGAAGGCAGCUUCCUGGCAUCAUACUGACACUGAGGCUCGAAAGCGUGGGUAGCAAACAGGAUUAGAUACCCUGGUAGUCCACGCCGUAAACGAUGUCUACUAGUCGUUGGGUCCCUUGAGGACUUAGUGACGCAGCUAACGCAAUAAGUAGACCGCCUGGGGAGUACGGCCGCAAGGUUAAAACUCAAAUGAAUUGACGGGGGCCCGCACAAGCGGUGGAGCAUGUGGUUUAAUUCGAUGCAACGCGAAGAACCUUACCUGGUCUUGACAUAUCUAGAAUCCUGCAGAGAUGCGGGAGUGCCUUCGGGAAUUAGAAUACAGGUGCUGCAUGGCUGUCGUCAGCUCGUGUCGUGAGAUGUUGGGUUAAGUCCCGCAACGAGCGCAACCCUUGUCCUUAGUUACCAGCGGGUUAAGCCGGGAACUCUAAGGAUACUGCCAGUGACAAACUGGAGGAAGGCGGGACGACGUCAAGUCAUCAUGGCCCUUACGACCAGGGCUACACACGUGCUACAUGGUAGGUACAGAGGGCAGCUACACAGCGAUG
rnacentral:rRNA from 1 species